GACGAACGCUGGCGGCGUGCUUAACACAUGCAAGUCGAACGGGCCUGUCUUCUUUUUUGGGGGUGGGUUGAGUGGCGAACGGGUGAGUAUCACGUGAGUAACCUGCCCUUCGGUCCUGGAUAACCGCUUGAAAGGGCGGCUAAUACGGGGUGGUCCGGUUGGUCCGCAUGGGCUGGUCGGGAUAGAUUCACUGUUUUUGGUGUUUCGGCGGGGGAUGGGCUCGCGGCCUAUCAGCUUGUUGGUGGGGUGAUGGCCUACCAAGGCGGUGACGGGUAGCCGGCCUGAGAGGGUGGGCGGCCACACUGGGACUGAGAUACGGCCCAGACUCCUGCGGGAGGCAGCAGUGGGGGGUAUUGCACAAUGGGCGGAAGCCUGAUGCAGCUACGUCGCGUGAGGGAUGGAGGCCUUCGGGUUGUGAACCUCUGUUUCCGGUGGUGAAGGCCCUGUCCGUGUGGUGGGGUUGACGGUAGCCGGGGAUGAAGCGCCGGCUAACUACGUG
rnacentral:rRNA from 1 species